UACGGGGGGGGCAAGCGUUGUUCGGAAUUACUGGGCGUAAAGGGCUCGUAGGUGGCCAACUAAGUCAUACGUGAAAUCCCUCGGCUUAACCGGGGAACUGCGUCUGAUACUGGAUGGCUUGAGGUUGGGAGAGGGAUGCGGAAUUCCAGGUGUAGCGGUGAAAUGCGUAGAUAUCUGGAGGAACACCAAUAGCGAAGGCAGCUCGCUGGGACGGUACUGACGCUAAGGCGCGAAAGCGUGGGGAGCGAACAGG
rnacentral:rRNA from 1 species